UGAGGAAUCUUCCACAAUGGGCGAAAGCCUGAUGGAGCAACGCCGCGUGCAGGAUGAAGGCCUUCGGGUCGUAAACUGCUUUUAUGGGUGAAUAAUAUGAAUGUAGCCCUUGAAUAAGCACCGGCUAACUACGUGCCAGCAGCCGCGGUCAUACGUAGGGUGCAAGCAUUAUCCGGAGUGACUGGGCGUAAAGAGUUGCGUAGGUGGACAAAUAAGCGAAUAGUGAAAUCUGGUGGCUCAACCACACAGACUAUUAUUUGAACUGUUUGUCUCGAGAAUAGCAGAGGUAACUGGAAUUUCUAGUGUAGGAGUGAAAUCCGUAGAUAUUAGAAGGAACACCAAUGGCGUAGGCAGGUUACUGGGCUAUUUCUGACACUAAGGCACGAAAGCGUGGGGAGCGAACCGG
rnacentral:rRNA from 1 species